UACGAAGGGGGCUGGCGUUGCUCGGAAUCACUGGGCGUAAAGGGUGCGUAGGCGGGUCUUUAAGUCAGGGGCGAAAUCCUGGAGCUCAACUCCAGAACUGCCUUUGAUACUGAGGAUCUUGAGUUCGGGAGAGGUGAGUGGAACUGCGAGUGUAGAGGUGAAAUUCGUAGAUAUUCGCAAGAACACCAGUGGCGAAGGCGGCUCACUGGCCCGAUACUGACGCUGAGGCACGAAAGCGUGGGGAGCAAACAGG
rnacentral:rRNA from 1 species